GACGUAGGUGGCGAACGUUAUCCGGAAUUAUUGGGCGUAAAGGCUGCGUAGAUGGUGUAGUAAGUUAUCGGUGGUAAAUCGAGGCUCAACCUCGUGGAAGUCGGUAAUACUGCUAUGCUAGAGGAUAGGAGAGGUUAACGGAACUCCCUGUGGAGCGGUGAAAUGCGUAGAUAUAGGGAAGAACACCAAUCAGGCGAAGGCAGUUAACUAUUCUAUUCCUGACAUUGAGGCAUGAAAGCGUGGGGAGCAAACAGG
rnacentral:rRNA from 1 species